UAUUUGUUGUCUCCAAAUCUUCUUGGAAAGC
rnacentral:piRNA from 1 species